UAGGGAAUCUUCGGCAAUGGACGAAAGUCUGACCGAGCAACGCCGCGUGAGUGAAGAAGGUUUUCGGAUCGUAAACUCUGUUGGUAGAGAAGAACGUUGGUGAGAGUGGAAAGCUCAUCAAGUGACGGUAACUACCCAGAAAGGGACGGCUAACUACGUGCCAC
rnacentral:rRNA from 1 species